UACGAAGGGGGCGAGCGUUGCCCGAAUUUACUGGGCGUAAAGCGCACGUAGGCGGCUUCGUAAGUCUGGUGUGAAAUCUCACGGCUCAACCGAGAGGCUGCACCAGAUACUGCGAAGCUCGAGGACGGGAGAGGAGGUUGGAAUUCCCGGUGUAGCGGGGAAAUGCAUUGAUACCGGGAGGAACACCAGUGGCGAAGGCGGGUCUCUGGCCCGUUGCUGACGCUGAGGUGCGAAAGCUGGGGGAGCGAAAGGG
rnacentral:rRNA from 1 species